UCUCACGGGCGUCUCUUGAGUUACUGCA
rnacentral:piRNA from 1 species